AACGUAGGUGGCGAGCGUUAUCCGGAUUUACUGGGCGUAAAGCGCUUGUAGGUGGUUUUGUAAGUUGGGCGUGAAAUCCCGGGGCUCAACCUCGGAACUGCCUUUGAUACUGCAAGUCUUGAGUCCGAUAGAGGUGCGUGGAAUUCCUAGUGUAGAGGUGAAAUUCGUAGAUAUUAGGAAGAACACCAGUGGCGAAGGCGGCUCACUGGUCCGGUACUGACGCUGAGGUGCGAAAGCGUGGGAGCAAACAGG
rnacentral:rRNA from 1 species